GUCCACGCUGUAAACGAUGUGUGCUAGACGUUGGGGGUUGCCUCCCGGUGUCGCAGCUAACGCGGUAAGCACACCGCCUGGGGAGUACGGCCGCAAGGUUAAAACUCAAAGGAAUUGACGGGGGCCCGCACAAGCGGUGGAGCAUGUGGUUCAAUUCGACGCAACGCGAAGAACCUUACCAGCUCUUGACAUGGGUAGUAUGGGCCUGGGCGACUGGGUCCUUCAGUUCGGCUGGCUACCACACAGGUGCUGCAUGGCUGUCGU
rnacentral:rRNA from 1 species